rnacentral:lncRNA from 1 species
AAGAGAAAAUCUCAGAAAUCAGAGACAAAGCAAUAGCAAAUCGUAACAAGUUAGUGUUUAUACAACUGCAUAUUCGGUUUGCCUUUUCUUCUUUAAACGUUGCAUUUAUCGGGUUAUGUUGCCUCCAAUCAGGUACGUUGGACUCUCAUCCACGGGGAUAACAUAUAAAUCUGGUUCAGCUUCAGCAUCAUUUGGUGGUAGUUUUCAAAGUGGUUCAAGCAAUUAUGACAGCUACAAGGAUAGGGAUUCCAGAGAAGACAAAAAUGACUACGAGUCUUUUCAAAAGUCAAGGCGCGGUGUUAAAAGUGACGAGCAAGGCUUUACUUCAAAGAAGAGUUUUUCACGCUAUGGCAGGUUUUAUGUCAACCCCUUUCAUUUCUGAUGUUACGUUCGUUACAGAUUUUGAAUAUAUUUCAAUUUGUGAGUUUUAUUUCCCAGAUGAGGCUGCUUGUUUCCUUUUAUCUUCUUGUUUCUGUUUUCGUUUACGACUCAUUUUGUGUUUUUUUUUUUCUGAUGUAGAGUAACUUACUUUUUCAUUAUUGCUCAAUUUAGUUCAAUUUUGAAUGUGCAGCACGGACCAUGAUAAUCUAUCCACUGGAAAAAAGUCACCCGACUCUGCCAAGUAUAGUUCACAUGUGUCUGCAGCACCUUCAAACAACGAUGAUGAUUUUGAUGAUUUUGAUCCACGUGGAACUUCCAGCAAUAGUAUGUUUUUUUCUAGACUGCUGAGCUUUCAGAUUGUUUAUCAUUUAUUGGACAUUUAAUUAGUUUGAUAACUUAUAGGGAACAACAUGUAUAUAUGAUAGAUGAAAGUCAUGUCUUAUCUGUAUCGGUUUCGUUUUGGCAGAGCCAGCCGCAGGCAGUGCUAACCAAGUGGACCUUUUUGGAGGAGAUCUGAUUGGUGACCUCUUGGAUUCUGGGCCAACAGAAACAUCCACCACCAACAACAACGAGAAAUUUCAAGAUGCGGACUUGUUUGCUGAUGCAACUUUUGUAUCAGCCUCGGCUCAGGGAACAGGAUUUGGUUCACAGUCACCGGUGGGCAACUUCUUCCAUCUAAGCUAGUAUAAGGCUUUAAACAAAUGAAAAUUUCCUUAUUAACGUUCUAUCUGAUUCAAUUCUGCACUGCUUGACAAACAUGCUCAGUUUUCGUUGUUGAAGUUAUAACGCGUCAUUAUGAAUUGUGCUAUUGAAUCAUAGACUGAUAUGUCUCCCCAUGUCUGUUUCUACAGAAAGAAGUUGAUCUUUUCUCUGCGUCUGAACCUUCUGUCACAGUUUCUUCAGCUCCUCCGACAGUUGAUCUUUUUGCAUCUCCCGAAUCCAUUGCACGCCCAGAAGCCAAUAUAUCUAAACCUGAGUCUAUGACCACUCCCAACAUUGUUGACCCAUUUGCUGCAGUUCCAAUGGAUAAUUUUGAUGGAUCUGAUCCUUUUGGUGCCUUCACUUCCCACUCGGCUUCAGCCUCUACAGGUCCACAGGCUCCAAAUGUACAAGGGAGUGCAGCAAACACUACAAGCCCGAUGUCUUUGGCAGACUCGAAGCCACAACACUUGCAAAAGAAAGAUCCUUUCCAAGUGAAAUCUGGAAUUUGGGCAAAUUCUCUGAGCCGUGGACUGAUUGAUCUCAAUCUAACUGCUCGUAAGUCAAAACUUCCCCCUUCAUCCAGAACUCUAUCAUGUGCCAUGCACUAGUAUGUGGUAGUGAACUAUUAAGAAAAUUGUAUUUUUCUCAUUAGAUGCAGAUAAAACUGAACAGGUAUAGUUGGUCAAUUACAUUCCAACGAAUUGUCAAAUAGUUGAUUAAACCACUCAAACUUCUUCGGUCAUAUAGAAUUUCAAUACCAUGUACCUUGACUUUGCAUUGUGUCAAGACAAAUAAAUGGUCGGGUUUAACUUUCUAAGUGCGAUCUCAGUCCUGACUAUUUGGUUUUCCUUGUAAUCAGCCAAAAAAGCUUCUCUAGCUGAUGUGGGCGUGGUGGGUGGUCUGAGCAAUGAUGAAGGUAACAAAGCAUCUGCUGCUUCGUACUACUCAGGCUGGUCCAUGGGUGCAGGAUCAGGGCUCGGUAAAACUGGUCUAUACAGUACACAGCAGCAGCAGCAACAACAAGCACAUGAUAUCUCAGAUGAUUUCUUCUCCAGCCUCAGUAACCAAAACUACCAAUCUGGAGGCUUUAAGUAGUGAAUUUGUCCGGGAUAUUCGUAUUGAGACGGAAAAGGCAUAUCAGGUUUGAGUCUACAUUCAAUACUGGAAAUCUAAGUAAUAUUUUUUUUUAAUUGGCUUGUUGUUCUUGCACUUCAUUCAUGAGACGAUCUGGUCGGUGGCUGAUGUGCCAUUGUUGUUGUGGCAUUUACUUUGGGUUUAAAUGAGAGAUAAGAAGAGAUAAGAAUUGUCUAUGGUUUUUGAUAAGAGAGUAUUAUUAUUGGGUUUAAGUUUUGUUUUGUUCAUACAAAAUAAAUGUAUCUGAGUAUCUCGUCCGACUCUUCAAAGAUUUUUGCUAUCGUGUGUGAUUCUUAAUCCAAAGAGACUCCAACGUUCUUCUUAAUUAUGUUUUCUGAUUUUAUUCAGAAACUGCGUACACAUUGACGUAAGUUCAUAUCUUAAUGAUUAUGUUUAAGACUAAUCUUAUUACACUAUUUAGUUAACUUGUCACGAAUGACUUAAAAUAUAGGUUAAUCUUAUUUACAAAGAAAAUGAUUAAAUUGGAACAGAAAGAAAGAAAAAAAACUAGUCCAACACAAAAAUAAAAAAUGUCAUCUCUUCACUGGUUUACCAAUAUCGUCUUCGUCGUUGUCGUCUUCUGCUCCACGAGUUUAGCUUCACCCUUACAUGGAAGCUCACAGGUUGUACUAGAAGAAGAAACCACAGUAGUAGGAUACGGCUACGUCGUUAGAUCAGUGGCUGUUGAUUCCAAUGAGAAGCUUUUGACGGCGAAUCUUGACCUGAUCAAACCGUCGUCCGUUUACGCACCGGAUGUGAAAUCGCUUAGUCUUCAUGCCAGGUCCUUAUAAUCUUCUCCGUUCUUCUCUCACUCUUAGCAAUAUAUCUAAUUUGGCAAGUUUUUUAAAGUUAUUUUAAAUGUGCGAUAAUUAAGGAAAGUUUUAUGAUUGUUUGGUAUAUAUUAUAUGUGCAGCUUGGAGACGAGUGAGCGUUUGAGAAUCAGAAUCACAGAUUUUAGUCAACAAAGAUGGGAGAUACCGGAAAAUGUUAUUCCUCGCGCCGGAAACCACUCUCCUCGCCGUUUCGUAACGGAGGAAGUAGACGGAGGAAACUCGCCGGACAGCAAUUUCUUAACAGAUCCAUCAUCGGACUUAGUUUUCACACUCCACAACACCACGCCUUUCGGUUUCUCCGUCACCCGACGCUCCUCCGGCGAUAUCCUCUUCGACACUUCGCCGGAUCAAUCAGAUCCGAGCACUUACUUCAUCUUCAAAGACCAAUUCCUUCAACUAUCUUCCGCGUUACCGGAAAACAGAUCGAAUCUGUAUGGUCUCGGGGAGCAAACCAAGCGAUCGUUCAGGCUAAUCCCGGGUGAUACUAUGACUAUGUGGAACGCCGACAUCGGUAGCGAGAAUCCGGAUGUUAACCUUUACGGAUCGCACCCGUUUUACAUGGAUGUAAGAGGAUCAAACGGUCAUGACGAAGCAGGGACGACUCACGGCGUUUUGUUGCUGAACAGCAAUGGAAUGGAUGUGAAGUAUGAAGGACAUCGGAUUACUUACAGUGUGAUCGGAGGAGUCAUUGAUCUCUAUGUGUUCGCUGGACCAUCACCUGAAAUGGUGAUGAAUCAGUACACAGAGCUUAUUGGAAGACCUGCUCCUAUGCCUUACUGGUCAUUUGGUAAGAGACAUUGUGCUGUUGCAUUUUGUUUGCUUAAAAGUUAGUCCAUAGCAUUAUCAGAUAAUAUACUUGUUUGUGUGGAUUGAGAUGUGCGUUUUGCUUUGAUUUUGUGAAGGAUUUCACCAAUGUAGGUAUGGCUACAAGAAUGUUUCAGACCUCGAAUCUGUAGUUGAUGGAUAUGCAAAAGCUAGAAUACCUCUUGAGGUUAUGUGGACAGACAUUGAUUACAUGGACGGCUACAAAGACUUCACUUUGGACCCCGUAAAUUUCCCAGAGGACAAGAUGAAAUCAUUUGUGGAUACACUUCAUAAGAGUGGUCAGAAAUACGUGCUGAUCUUGGAUCCCGGUAACAACCAUAUACUAUCUCUUGUCUGUAGAGUCUUUAACAAAUUGAUUUUACAAGAUGAAAAUAUUGGGUUUACGUGUAGGUAUUGGUGUGAACAGAUCUUACGGGACUUAUAAUAGAGGGAUGGAAGCAGAUGUUUUCAUAAAGCGAGAUGGUGAGCCUUAUCUCGGUGAGGUUUGGCCCGGAAAAGUAUACUUCCCUGACUUCUUGAAUCCAGCUGCUGCAACUUUCUGGAGCAAUGAAAUCAAGAUUUUCCAGGACAUUCUCCCUUUGGAUGGUCUGUGGAUUGACAUGAAUGAGUUAUCAAAUUUCAUAACUUCACCUCUAACCCCUGGAUCUUCACUCGAUGAUCCUCCUUACAAGAUUAACAAUUUUGGGGACAACGCGCCAAUAAACAACAAGACAGUUCCCGCAACAGCUAUCCAUUUUGGAAACGUUAGUGAAUACAAUGCGCAUAACUUGUAUGGCCUGUUGGAAGCUAAAGCCACUCACCAGGCUAUAGUGGAUGUAAUGGGAAAGAGACCAUUUGUUUUGUCGAGAUCCACGUUUGUAAGCUCCGGAAAGUACACGGCUCACUGGACUGGUGAUAAUGCUGCAAAAUGGGAGGAUUUGGCUUACUCAAUCCCUGGAAUUCUCAACUUUGGUCUGUUUGGGAUUCCUAUGGUUGGAGCUGAUAUAUGUGGUUUCUCACAUGAUACCACCGAGGAACUAUGUCGUCGAUGGAUCCAGGUAGAGUGAUUAUUUCUCAGACACAACCUGUAGACUUUUUCCUGAGUUCGUAAUCUAACGUUUGCUCUUAGAUUAUCAGCUUGGAGCUUUUUACCCUUUUGCAAGAGACCAUUCGUCCCUUAAUACCGCCAGACAAGAAUUAUACCUCUGGGAGUCUGUUGCUUCUUCUGCAAGAAAGGUUCUCGGCCUCCGUAUGAGACUGCUCCCACAUCUCUAUACACUGAUGUAUGAGGCUCACGUUAGCGGCAUCCCGAUCGUGAGACCACUCUUCUUCUCGUUCCCUCAAGACACUAACACUUACGAAAUUGAUUCACAGUUCUUGAUCGGUAAAAGCAUAAUGGUUUCUCCGGCGCUGGAGCAAGGAAAGCUGACGGUAGAUGCAUAUUUCCCUGCCGGAAACUGGUUUGAUCUUUUUAACUAUUCAUUUGCCGUCGGUGGAGCUUCUGGCAAGCACGUUAGGCUUGACACUCCCGCAGAUCACGUGAACGUUCAUGUUCGAGAAGGUAAUUAAAUAGUAUGUUCUUUGAUAGCUACUUCUGAAAUGAAACUGGAGUUGAGCUUGAACAGAUUUUGGUUUAACUUGUAAAUAGGUAGUAUUGUGGCUAUGCAAGGAGAGGCAAUGACAACUAGAGACGCCAGAAAGACACCGUAUGAGCUUCUAGUUGUAGCCAGCCGGCUUGAGAACAUAUCCGGCGAACUGUUUCUGGAUGACGGGGAAAAGAUACAGAUGGGAGAGGGAGGAGGAAACCGUGAUUGGACUCUCGUGAAGUUCCGGUGCUACGUAACAGGGAAAUCGGUGGUACUGAGAUCAGAAGUGGUGAACCCAGAGUACGCUUCGAGAAUGAAAUGGAGCAUAGGGAAAGUGACAUUUGUUGGGUUCGAGAACGUAGAGAGCGUGAAAACGUACGAGGUGAGGACAGGUGAGAGAUUGAGAAGUCCGAGAAUCUCGCUAAUCAAAACGGUUAUGGACGAUGAUGAUCCGAGGUUUCUCAGUGUGGAGGUUUCAAAGCUGUCGUUGCUUGUUGGGAAGAAGUUCGAGAUGAGAUUGAAAUUGACUUGAACAAGUACUAAACCCAAAUAUUGAUGAUAUAAACUCUGGAUGCUUAAUGAAUAAAGGGUGUAAAGAAGAGUGAUAUAUAAAGAUUUAAGAAUAAUGUCAUGCGAUCCAAUUACUUUGUAUUAUUGUACAGAAGGAUACAUACCAGGUUCAAAAUUCGUGUAUCAUAAAUAUUGUAUUUUUCCCUUCUCCUUUUCACUUCGUUAGUAUUUUCUGUUCAUUAUAAAUCAACCAAAUUGCAGUCUUCAAAAUUUUUGAACCAUCUGCACAUGUUGCCAUGUGGGGUUUGCCGGAAAAAAAAAAAAAAAAAAAAAGAGAGGAGCAUAUUUUUUUAUUUUUUAUUUUUUAUUUUUUUUUGUCAAAAGAGAGGAGCAUAUUUGUGCCACUUUGACCACUUUUUUCCUUUUGCUAAUAUACCGCCAUGUUUGUGCCCACAAUUUUUCUGAAUUCUCACUAAUUGUCAUUGACCUCGUUAACUCAAAUUUCAAAAUAAUUAAUUAACAUAAUAAACUUACAAAUUACAAUUCGAAAUUAUCCUUAUUGGUUGAUAAAUAUCCUUAAACGCGUUUAAAAUUAAUUACCAAACCAGAAGAAGAAAAAAAAUGAAUGUUAUGGUCCCAUUCUAAUAUACACACACACACACAAAAAAGAGUCGACGGUACAACAGCGGUCUUGUCUAGUACGCAAAAACAGUUUCGGCGUCUUCCUCACAUUACUUUUCUCAAUCAAUACCGUCUUCUCCUCUCCAUCCAUUAUCUCUCUCUCUCUCCCUCACGGAUUCGUAACUUCUUCUCAGUGCUUCUCCGUCAUCUUCGCAUUAUUGAUUCUUACUUUUUCCCUGUAAGCUCGACACGUGGAUUGUUCCCCUGCUUUUUCUUUUGUUUUUUUUUGCCUCUUUUCGUGAAGAUUCGUUUCCUGUAUCUGUGCAGACUUGCAAUGGAGUAAGUUUCCUAAAUUAGCUCGGCUCUAGAUCCUAGUUUCUUUAAUUAGCUUGUCCGGUGAAGGAAUUAGUGACUGGAUCAACUAGAUACUAUCGAUUCCGUAUGCUGCGGCUUUCGAUUUCGUGGAUUUGUAUUUGGAAAUUUUGCCGAUUUUUCUGAUUCUGUCCUGCUGGUAAAGGUCUCGUGAUUAGCGGAGGAGAUCUGGAGUUCUUAGUUUUAGGAUCUUACGAGCGAGCAAUUGUUGACUUUUGAUUUUGCCACAGUUUUAUUCACGUGUGUAGGCUUAGUUGAUUCAGAUUCAAGUUAGAAGCAGAAUCAGAAUCUGCAAAUACCUGUUGUUUUAGAAACUAUAGAGAUGCAGACUAGGGUUGUACAGUUGGAAGAAGGGAAAGAAACUGGAAUCACGGUUAGAACAGGGCAGUACAAGGCAUUUCCUUCGAAGCUGCUUCUUCUGCUAGGCUUUUUUCUUGCUUUUGCUAUUACUGUCUUCAUCAUUAGUGUAUCUACUAUCAAGUAUACUGGAAUACAAAGUGUAGUGACCACAGUGACUUCGAGCUUUGUGCCAUGCCGUGAGGAUGAACCCAGUGGUUUUAGUCAAUGGAUACUACCUCCUGCUGUUCUGAUGCAUAAUAUGAGCGACGAAGAGCUCCUUUGGCGCGCUUCUUUUUGGCCUCGGAGAAAAGAAUAUCCCUUUAAAAGGGUUCCAAAGAUUGCGUUUAUGUUCUUGACUAAAGGCCCCUUGCCGCUUGCUUUGCUUUGGGAGAGGUUUUUCAAGGGUCACAAUGGGCUUUACUCGGUUUACCUUCAUCCACACCCAUCUUUUACAGCCAAGUUUCCAGCUAACUCUGUUUUCCACCGGAGGCAGAUACCCAGCCAGGUCUGGUUCUUUUAUUUCUCUUCUGUUUACAUGGAUACCAGUUUCAUAUGGUAUGAGAAACUGGAGCUCCUGGACCAAACUUGGUUUCUAUAGAAGCCUCUUUGGCAUUGCGUAUUUACUCCAUACAGCCUUUUUGGAUGCCAUGUAGUCAUCGCUCUUGAAGUAUUAUUGUUGAUUAAGUGAUUAGUUGGAUUACCAAUCACAUAAACUAUCAGAAAAUAUAACUCUAGAAUCAAAUUGGUGGUUUCUUUAGUAGCCUUUUGUUCAAGCAGUUCUUCAGAUUGCUUUGAAUCUAAUUGGUUAUGUAUCUGAUUUUAUUGUUGUAUCAUUGUGCAGGUUGCAGAAUGGGGGAGAAUGUCCAUGUGUGAUGCAGAGAAGCGGCUUCUCGCCAAUGCGCUGCUUGAUAUCUCCAACGAAUGGUUUAUUCUAGUCUCAGAGUCAUGCAUUCCACUCUACAACUUCACAACCAUCUACAGCUACUUAAGCCGAUCAAAACACAGCUUCAUGGGUGCUUUUGAUGACCCUGGACCGUAUGGGCGCGGCCGCUAUAACUCGAACAUGGAACCAGAAGUCCCCAUUACCAAAUGGCGAAAAGGGUCUCAAUGGUUUGAGAUUAACAGGGACCUAGCAGCUACCAUUGUCAAAGACACAUUGUAUUACCCGAAAUUCAAAGAGUUUUGCAGACCCGCUUGCUAUGUGGACGAGCAUUACUUCCCGACAAUGCUGACAAUUGAGAAACCAGAGGUCUUGGCUAACCGGAGCUUGACAUGGGUGGACUGGUCGAGGGGAGGGCCCCACCCUGCCACGUUUGGGCGAUCUGACGUUACAGAGAAUUUCUUUGUAAAGAUCUUUGAUGGAAGAAACUGCACUUACAAUGGGCGCAACACUUCCAUGUGCUAUCUUUUUGCGAGGAAGUUUGCUCCGAGUGCUCUGGAGCCUUUGCUUAGCAUUUCUCCGAAGAUUCUUGGAUUUUGAGUAGUUUAGUAAUGUCUCUGAACCUCUUAGACAUCAAAUAGAGAACACGGAAUGGGUGAGAUAAUGGAUUCUAUGGGAGAUUAUACGCCGAUAUUAUUUUAUUUUGUUUGUUGUGAUGUAAGUUGGGAAGAAAUGAGGUAUUAGUAGAGAGAACUCUAGGUUGCUCAACCACAACAGGAGCCAAGUCAUAUGUAACUUUAUAUUUUUAAAGAAUUACUACUAUGCUAUGCAUAGAUCAUUUUUUCUUCCGGAUAGUCUUGGAACAUUAGUUGUCCGAUGCACGAAAUAGGACAGGUUUAUUAUAUAUACGCAAGUGUCAUUGAAUCAGAUUUGUUUGUCUAAUGUUUUUUCUAAUGUUAUCGUCUCUAACUCAUUUUGAAUCAGGUUAGAAAAACGAACAAACCUUUCUUAACAUGGAUAUGUAUAUAGAGUAAUCUUAGUCUUGGUAAAUUGCUUACCGACCUACAAACUAAAAAGAAAGAAAGAAAGAAAGAAAAAUUGCUUACCGACCAAGAUAUUGCUUAGAAUGUGAAACCAGUAGACUAGAUAACUAAAUGACAAUGGGAACAAACCAGAGCCAGGUGGAGAACACACUUUUACACCUAAUCGAAGGUUCUCGAAACCCUCAAGAGCCUGCCAACGUCUACCAUCUGUCUUUUUUUCUCUUUCUCUUUAAACAAUUGCAAAGUUUAAUAAAGUAUGUGAAAAGGUUUCAUUUAUGGAAAAAGAAGGUCUCAAAAUUCAAUUCUAUAUCAUCUUAUUGGAAUAUAUUCUCUGAGAUAAAAAGAAAUUCCACACACAUUCCACCAAUUUUUUAUUGUAUAUAAAAACUUAUAAUGAAAAUAUUUUCAACUUUUUUUUUUAGUUCUGAACAAAAAUAAUUUCAAAUAUUUUCUUCAAACUGACUUUUUCUAAGAAAUGUGAUGUCCACCCAUUCAACUAAGUUGGCUCACAUUAUUCUCAAAAUUAUAUAAAAAACAAAUCUAUAUGGUCUAGAUGCUAUUAAUAACUAUUGAAAAACAAGACAAUUUUGACAAAUUCUCAUAAUACUAUUAGAAAACAUUAUAAUAUAGUUAUUAAUUAUAUAUUUGUCUACUCUUUUCAAUAUCGCAUUAAUCUUCCAUGAUAAGGAAAAAGAAAGAUUAGCACAUUGUUCUUCGUUUGUUUACCAAACAAAAAAAAACACACAGUUCACCAAUACCAGUUUAAAGUACAUUAAUCAAACAUUGCUUCGAGAAACCAAAGAAAAAACAAUUUUUAUUACCUCUUCUGUCGACGUUAUUUGUUUUUUAAAGAAGCUCUUUUCUAUAAAGGAAAAACAUUAGCCGUUACACGAACCCCAUGUGCUCACCAAAUAAAAUGGUCCCUUCUUUACUCCCAACCAAAUACAAAUACAAAUACAAAUACAAGUCUGCGCAUCUUGGCCGUUUCCUUCACGGAACCGCGUUUUUCCGUCACUGUUAAAAAAAAAUUGACAGCUCAUCAAACAUUCUCCACGCGCCGUGACUAACAAACAAAAACCUCUACCAAGACCGUUGCGUCUUUUUUAGUCCAGAAAGUUAGAUGCACGCGCCAAGUGUGAGCGUUCGAGACAAAAAUAUCCUCGCGAACGGCGCCGUAACGGAAGAAAGAUGACCUGUCGAAAUCUCAGUGAUUGCGUGGGAGCAAUAUCAACCGUCGAUUAUUCAUACUCCAGCUGGAAAAAUCAGGGCAGCUAAACCAACUAAACCGGGCAGCUCCACCUCUUUAUAAACUCGUCACCACAUUUCAUUUUAGAAAACCAAAUAUUCAAAGAACCCUAGCCUCCUCUCUCUUCUUCAUUCACAUACACACACAUCUCUCUCUUUCUCACUCUCAACUUUAAAACUCUUUUGAAAUGGCGUUCUCCAAGGCUUCAAUCGUUGCUCUCGUGUUGGUCAUCAUCUCCGUCGUGGCUACGGCUCAGUCUGAAGCCCCAGCACCAAGUCCUACUUCCGGAUCUAGCGCGAUCUCAGCUUCGUUCGUCUCAGCUGGAGUAGCAGCAGUGGCGGCUCUUGUCUUCGGCUCUGCUCUUCGGAUCUAAGCUUUACUGUGAUGGUGGUUUCGUACAGAGAUUGUUUUUGCAGUUUAUGAUUAUUAUUAAUAUAUCUUGGGGAGUAUAGGCCAUUCAUCAUUAUUCGUCUCUCGUGUGUAUUCCGAAGCCUAUAGAUCUCAUUUCUUACUUGGCUCUCUUUUCUAUCUUCUUCUUCUAUAUUAUAAUCUUCAUAUAUGUAUUGAGGAUGAUAUUAUCUCUGGGUAUUGUGGUGGUUUUAGAGUUGUGGGAUUAUGGCCCUUUUUGAUAUGAUAUAUUGAAUCUAUUCUAUUUAUUUAUAUAUUUAUGGAUUUCCCUUCUUAAAUCUCUCUCUCUCUCUCUCUCUCUUCUCGUGUUUCACAGAUUAAUAUGAGAAUAUGCUUACACAGAGUAGUUGAGAAUUUUAUAAAUCGGAAUAUAUUCCAACGCGUUACAAAUCGAAUCAUUCCAAAACCCAAGUAAAAUGCUGUAACUCAAAAGCUAACUUUUAUGAUCUAAUUGAGAAUCAAAAAUUGUAUUCUGGUGGAAAUGGAACUGAUUCUAAACAAAGCUCG